rnacentral:rRNA from 1 species
UACGUAGGGUGCGAGCGUUAAUCGGAAUUACUGGGCGUAAAGCGUGCGCAGGCGGUUCGUUGUGUCGGCGGUGAAAGCCCCGGGCUUAACCUGGGAAUGGCCGUUGAAACUGGCGAACUGGAGUGUGGCAGAGGGGGGUGGAAUUCCGCGUGUAGCAGUGAAAUGCGUAGAGAUGCGGAGGAACACCGAUGGCGAAGGCAGCCCCCUGGGCUAACACUGACGCUCAGGCACGAAAGCAUGGGGAGCAAAAGGG